UGGGGAAUAUUUGGCAAUGAGCGAAAGCUUGACCAAGCGAUGCCGUGUGGAGGAUGAAUGCCUUAGGGUUGUAAACUCCUUUUCUUGUUGAAGAAGUUCUGACGGUAUACAAGGAAUAAGCAUCGGCUAACCCUGUGCCAGCAGCCGCGGUAAUACAGGGGAUGCAAGCGUUGUCCGGAAUUAUUGGGCGUAAAGCGUCUGUAGAUGGUUUAUUAAGUUUUUUGUUAAAUGUCAGAGCUUAACUUUGGAAUUGCAUUAAAUACUGGUAAACUUGAGUACAAUAGAGGUAAAGGGAAUUUCCAGUGUAGCGGUGAAAUGCGUAGAUAUUGGAAAGAACACCAACGGCGAAGGCACUUUACUGGGUUGAUACUGACAUUGAGAGACGAUAGCUAGGGGAGCA
rnacentral:rRNA from 1 species